CGGCAGCGGCGGCACCCGCUCCGAAGCGCGACGGCGAGGGUGGAAGCGGGGUAGCGGAGGGGAAGGGAGGUGAGUUUGGCGGGGCGGGAGGGCGGGCGGCCCCCGCGCCUCCCCCGCGGCGGCGGUAGCAGCGAUGCGAUCGGGCAUCACUCGAAAAUGGCGCCGAAAGAGCGGAGGGCUCUUCAUUCAAAUUCGUUAGCGCCAGCCCCGCCGCCCCGGGGCAUGCCGGGAACGGGGGGGGGCGCGCGCGGGGGCUGAGGCGGCAGCGCCGCACGGACACGGCGCUCGCUGUCAAUGCCGCCCCUCCCCCCGCCGCCCGCGCGCGCGCUCCACGCCCUCCCCGCUCCCCGCGCGCUCCCGACCCAACCGCCGCUAAUGGGGAAAGGGGGGGUGGGGGGGGGAAGAGAGGGAAAGAGGGAGGGAGAGAGAGAGAGAGGGAAAUGUCACCCGGAGCCCGGGCCCGCGGGGGAGAGGUGGCGCGUUAGAGAUGUGUGUGGGAGAGAGGGAGAGAGGGAGCGAGAGAGAGAGAGAGAGAGAGAGAGAGAGGGGGAGCGAGACCUCCGCUGGCCCCGCGAACUUGUCAAGUACAAAACACCAAGCUUUUGGGCUCAAAAAGCCUAGACCAUCAUGGCUACGAAAACUAUUGCUGCUCAGCUGCUCAGAGAAUAUGUAAUUCUGGAGCUCCUUAAGGAAAAAAGUAGUGCGAUGCAACAUCAGAACAGUGGCCAAGUGAUCUUCUCCACAGAGCCAUGAACUUCAAACUUGAACCAAAGAAGACUCAUCAAAUGCCUUAGGAAAGACAGUAUGGAGUUGGAAGAGAAGCACAGAUCUCCAUGAAGGGUAAUCACUUAUAGCCAUGGUCGGCAUGCUCGGUUGGUCUGCCAGUCGACACGUGUAGCUCAGACCUGGCCACAAUGUGAGCUGCCUUCUGUUCUCCUAAACAUCAGAGGCUGAAAUUUAGAGAUAUCUGUUUAGAAGGGAAUGGGAAAACAGCCAGGCUAGCUUUGGCACAAGUGUGUUGGUGGCACCUGUAAGCAUGCAGGUGUGUGGAGGAACAGGUCCUGUUCUCGCUGUUGUUACUCCCACGUAGGCAGACUCUGUAAUUGAUUAUGUGUGGGUAGGGCCCUAUUGAAAUUCAGGAGAUUCUGCAGUAGUGCGGGGUUCUUUUUGUGAAAGUUCAGUUGCAAGAUCAGGACCCUACUGUGACUCCUUACUGUGCAUUCUGUCACUGUCUCAUUGAUUGUACUGGAACCUGCCUGUUGGGAUAAUUACCAAAUACUAUAUUCCUCAAAACUUCUUAAUGGCACUGAGGCUUUGUGGAUAGUUGGUCACAUGAUGAGAAAAUUCAGCUACUGCUGGAGUUCAUGAUUCCUGAGAAGUAACACCUUGAAGUUCUGGCACUAUCUUCUACAAAGUAACUUACACUGAGCUGUCUUCCUGUUACUGUGUCAAUGAAACAUCAAAUGUUGAUACUAUGUGUGAAACAACAUUUGAUAUUGUGGCUAUUAAGCUACUUGAAAAAAUACUACACAGACGGAUUUUGUGUUUACAAGACCUGGCAUUUAAAAAUCUAUGUCAUGGAUGCAGCUGCCAUCCUUUCUGAAGCUUUUCACUUGCUACCUCUCUGACAAUCCUACUUUCCAUGUUGAAAGUAUUGUCCUAACUUGUGAUGUGGAAGAUUGCUGGCCCUUCCUUUGAUGCUGAUACCAGUAUUUUCUUGACUGAUAGUAUUGUAAUGAAGACAUAGAAAAAGAAGACUAUGGCACUCAUGAAUUUUUUUAUGGUUUGAGUAGUCAAAAAAUAUUGUUCUUCUGCCUUCAUAUAAAAUGUGUUGGUUUCCCAAUGUACUUGUAACUUAAAGAUGUUUGUAGAAAUGUAAAAUUAAAUGUGAAGAGUAUAAAAUCCAUAUUAAAGACAUAAAAAUUUAAUAAAAUACAGCAUUAGUCUUUAUUUUAACAACUGAGUCCCACAUGGCUCACUUGCAAAAUGUGGGGUAGACUUACAAAGUUGUGUACUGGUACAGUCCAGCUUAUUAAAAGGUGAAAUUUCUUUUUCUGUUCAGUAAUUAUUAAAAGGUCAACUUAUUUUCUUUCUCCCUCUAGUAAUAUUUUCUUGUUAUACCUGUUAAAGAUCUCUCCUCUUGAGUUCUGUCUUCUCCCCUUUUUUUUUUUUUUGUUCCUUUUAUUAACCUAAGUUUGUGGUUCCUUUCUACCUUGGUCUCUCCUAACUCUUUUGGUCCAAUACUGAUCCCUUUUUUCUCAUAUGUUUGCAUCCAUUUGCCUGGAAUAUUGCCUUGAGCAUGAACAUAUGUACCCAAGAAUAUAUUUACUUUUAAAUGCUGGAUGGAUCUGCUAUUUUAGGACUUCCAGUUAAGCAGAGAAGAAACUUAACAAUUCAUGACAGUGUUUUAGCUUUUUUUAUGAUACAUAUGCCUUCAGAGGAUCAAAGUACCUUGCUUCCAACAUCAAUGGAAUAGUAACUAUAGACAGAGAUAAAUAUUCCUGUAAAAAUAAAGACUUAUGGUACUUCUUCAAUACAGGAAUGUUAACUUAAAAAGAGCAUGAAUGAAACCAUGCUGUGUUCAUAAAUGGUAUGGCAAACAUUUUCAGUUUUGUUUGCAUAUAAAGAAAAAUGCUAUUGGAGCGAGUGCUUUGUACUGAUAGCAAUAUAAGGAGAUAGAAUUUUUUGAAAAAGACAACUAAAAGGUAUACAUACAUAAAAUCAGGAGAAUUUUUGAAAAUCAUGUUCUGCUGUAGCAUAAAUACUGAAUAAUAGUUAAUGGUUUUUAUGGGAUAGAUACGUACAUAUUUUAUUAGGUAUACUAAAUGUUCUUUAGAUAAUCUAAAUUAUUUGGAUUGCAGUAAAACGAAUGUCAUGAUGAAACAUAAGCAGUAUGUUCAGAACUUUUACUUUUUAUGUGUAAAAUAUAGGCAAAAAUAAUGGCACUAAUAAUAGCAAUAUACUAAAAAAUUAUUGGAGGUGUGAGUGAGAGUCAUUUAUGGUGGCCAGAAGUUUUUAACUAGUGUAGGUACCUGCAGGACUUUGCAUAAUUUGGAGGCCCUUAACAAAACACCUUUGCCAGAUGUGUGUACUGAGCAUGAGGAUGAUAUUACAAUGAUUACAAAGCAGAGGAAAUUCAGAAUCUCUAAAGUAAUUACACCAAUGAGCAGUAAAUUUUUGCUAAAAUUAAGUUGCAUUGACUGCAACAAAGUUUAUAAAAAAAAACUAUAUUAAAAUUAUCCAUAGAAAGCAAAAGAAUAUUAAAACCCAUGUAAAACUUGAUGGGGCUUUCUGCAGUAUACCCUCAAAUGAUGCAAAUUGACAGCAUACAUAUAAGUCACUACUGCUUUGCUGAAGAUUUGUCCUUUCUAUUAACAAUAUAAGGCAAUACAGAUCCCGAAAUAAUCUGUGACUUAAUACUCAUAUUUAUUUCACAGCAGAGUUUCUAUGGACAAAGGCCUUGCUCAUCAUGAAAAAUAACACAGAUCUAACAAUGGCAUAUUAUUGUUAGAAGGAAGUACACCUGACUUAGCACAGUUUUAGAAAACUAGUUUUGAGAGUACUGUAUUGGUGUAGCUUAAGUCACAAAACUACUGCUUUUUUGAUAAUACUACUAAUGUAAAAUUCAGACUUGCAGUUUGAUUAUAAGAUUAUUUUUACACUCAAUUUUGUGUAUUUUUGAUUUGCAAUUUUUAAAUUAUAAAAUCGGUUAAAUGUCUUUAUUUUUAAAUCUGUUAGGAACAGUAAGGAAAGCAUAGCUGAAAAUACUAACAAAACAGGAAAGAUAUUUCAGCAAAUGAGUAAGUGUAACAACUGGGAAAUGUUUGCCAGCGGAGAAUAAAGUUGAGUGAAUUGCUACAUUAAGACGUGAAAACAUAAUCUAUAAAGUCCUGUGGGAAAUAAUAAUGAAAAAAUAGAUCUUUCUGUUCAUAAAUAUAGCUUAGGUACAGGUGGUCUUGAGAGAUGCAAAGCCACUACAAAUUCCAAGAAUCUUUCUUUGACUACAUUAGAAACAGGCCUGGCUGAGACAUAAAUACAAUAUAACUACAUGUAGCUACAUAAAGAAUAUAAGGUGAGGGAAACAUAAUCUAUAAAACAAUCACCCUGCUUGCAGAUUCUGCAGAUCACAUGGCUGGCAGACACAGAAAUCAUUUCACAAAUGAAAAAGGAAGAAGCAAAAUCCAUGAAGAUUGUAUUGAAGGUUUGAUUCAUUUGACUUUCUCUAGGCUCACGAGGGUCUCCAUGAUUAUCAUAUAUGUAUAUAUAUACAGAUGUAUUCUAUUCAUGUUAUACAUACAUAUAUUGCUAUCCAUAUGGAAAUGUAUGAAAAGCUGUAAAAGAGAAAUUUGAGUUCCGUGCAAGAGGUACUUCGAAAUAGGUCACAGGACUUUUGUAUGGUACUUAAAACAACUGGAAGAAGUAACGAGAGUUACUCCAGUACUGGAUCUGAUAGUGAUCAGGAAAAAAGGAGAUAUCAGACCUAACAUUAAGACUUUAUGACUGUACAAUACUUCUAGUUUAAUAAAAAGACCAGAAAAAGCAUAAAUGUACUGUGAUAAUCACUGGCAGAAAGACUGAGAGAAUGAUUUUGAAGAAUAACAGCAAAAAGCUGGUUCAGAGUAUCAUUGCAAUAGAAUAAGAGAGAUUCCACUGUAAAAAAUGUUUAGUGAAGUAUAAAGUUGGAGAAAAGGAAAUGGAACUGGAAAAGAGAACUUUAAACUUGCCAUCACGCAAAGAAAGAACAGAAAGAGCUCAGAUCAUGUGAUACUAUCUAAGAAAGCCUAAUUAUCCACUUAAUUAGUAUAAUUUUGGUAAUAUAUUCUGAAAGUAUGUGAAAAUCUUAAAAGAAUACAAGAAAGCAGUUUUUUUCAAGUUUCUUGAGCAGUUUUUUUUUUUCCUCACAGAGUAAUACUGAAUAAAAGGAAGUCUUAAGACCACUGCCUAUGAAUUGGAUAAUUUAUUUGAAAAGAUAGUUGAAGAAACAGUGAACAAUGAUCAAUGAUGUUAAUUGAAAAUAUAGAAAAGUGUCUGAAAAUAUGAAGGGUUCCAGAUUCUGUACCCUUGUUCUGCUCACUGGAGGUAGCACAAGGUAGCCAAAAUCCAUUCCUAUCAGAGACUGAGAAUUUGCCUGCUCUGGGGAAGUCACAGUCAGCCUAACGCUGGCCUGUCCUUCACCCAUACCCACAGCUCAGUCCUCUGUGCAGGUUUGAGACUAGCAUCAUAUGAAGGUAUCUCUCUACCUGUUUUUGGCUGCAUUUAAUUUCUUACGUCACAUAGAACAGAAAAUGCACCACAGCCCAGUCAAGAGCCAGUAGCAAACUACAGCUCACGUUUGCCUGGCUAACCCACCAGCUCUCCUGAGCCAGGGUAGCCUCAUUUGUACUGCCUAUUAGGAGAUUCCCUAACCCAUGCUAUUCCUCAAAUCCAAAAAUCCUCAGUAUUUUACCUGAGUGCUUGCUGGCCUCAGCCAAAAGCAUACCAAAGAGCAGGCUAACAGGUAAAGGGUGUGGAUUAUCACAUGAUAGAACUCAAGUAUGUGCCUGAGCCCUCUUCAGCUCAGUAACACAGAUGUAACCUUAGGAACUACGUCCAGUUGACAAUAAUUACAACUGUACUGGCUUGUUCUAAAUGAAAAAUACAAUGGCAUGAAAACCAGUAGUCUUACAGACUACUACUUCUUGACAAGAAAUCCGAAAAAUCUGAAAAAUUGGCAAUUUAAGAAAGUCAGUGGACAACAGAAGGGAAAACAGUACUUAUCUGAUGAGGAAGUAUUUUAACAUGGAAACUUGAAAGCCAGUUAAAUGACUGAAUGUUCUUUUCAAGAUAAGAAAGGUUACAAUAAAGAACUCAGCAUAGGGCCAUUUGGGUAAAUAGAUUUCCUUCACUAUUAAAAUACAGUUUGGGCCCCAUCUACCUUGUAGGAUAAAAGCCUGAAAUGUGCUUGUGGUGUUUUAUUUUGAGACUUUUGAGAAGGAGCUGAUGCUGAAGUGGGCAUGUUUCAAUAUAAAAGAGUCACCUCAUCACGGACAAGAUGGGAUAAGAGGUCUACUGAAUAUUUAUACAUUUUUCAAAAAAAUUAUAUGCAGUAAUGUCUUGGAAUGAGUGCAAUCUCUGUAUUGGACAGGUGUUCAGUAUGUGAUAUAAUUACCAUUAGGUUCCAGGUGACCUUUUGACCUGUGAGGUCACUAGUUAUUUCCACAGUAAUUUCUAAUUUUACAGGUUGUAGAAAACUAUGUGCAGGAAAAACUGCAUAAAAAGGGAAAAUGCAAUUACUUUUAUAGACUACUUUGUGACCUGGGAUUAAGUGCUUAAGUCUGAAGACAGAAAAUAAAAAAGGAAAGGAAAAUGUGGCACAUCAGACAAUGCUGGACCAUGAUCAAUUAGCAUUCAGUUGAGUAUUGUCUUUUAAGUCACUUAGAGGUAAAGAGAGGAAAUAAACUGCUCAAAUAAAAACAAAUACAUAUUCUGAAAGCAGUCAGCUACUCUGGUGUGUGCUGAGGUCACAAAAUACAUAAAUGAAAGAAAUGGGGCAAAAUUUUAGGAUGUUAUAGAUCAAAGGAAAAUAGCCGAGAGUUUGAGAUGUAAGAUGAGGAGUAGGGAGGAUUUCCAAACAGUUUUUAAUAUGAAAUUAUUCUUAAUGGAACACUGGUAAGAAAAUAGACCAUCAUAACAACAAUUCAGCAUAAAUUUUCCUGUAGAUUUAGCCUUUGGAGAAGCUGUUCUGAAGAAAUGCAGGCAGCUUUUCUGGAGGAGCAAACCGGCUGAUCUGGCUUUACCAUAUUGCCAUCGACCGGAUGUGCAACACAGUAGGGAACUGAAUUAUGAAAAAUCCCUUUUGUAGUAUGAAUGUACGAAUCUGUACAUUUGGCUUGCUUUACAUCAGUAGGAUUAUGUUUUUGCCAAUACUAGAAACUACAUUAAAAGAAGGAAGAGAAUAUCAAUGAAUAAUAUAAGAAACUGGAAUUAGUUGCAUAUAGAUAGAGAAUAACAGAAAGCAAAUCUGUCACACAUAUUACAUACCUAGUUGCAUAUAAUGAAAUUUCUUGCUUAUAAUGACCUUGUAUUUUGAAAACACAGGUGAAUUAUAUAAAAUUACAAUACUGUGAUGCCCUUAAGUAUAGUUUUAGAAAAUUACAUGAAACAGCCAAACAAAAUAUUUGAAGUUAUCCACUUCUCUCUGGAGUACAUUAUAUAUGCUAAACCUAAUGUCUUAACUGCCAGAACUGGUAGUUCCUGUUUUGAGGUAAAGAGUUGCUUGAAGGCUUCUGCAAAAAGAGAUUCUGAAAAAUCUUACAGCAGAUAGAACAAGUCUGCUAAAUAAGUCUUCACAGACUUCUCUGUUCAUUGUGAUUGUAUUCGGUGCCCAUCACUCCUCCUUAAAUAAUCACUUGUUGAAGGAUUGCCUGUCUAUGUUUCCUGAGGAAGUGGGGGGACAUAGUUUUCAGGAGCUGCUGGAAGUAUGGGAAGGAGGAGAUAACUGCAUUCAGAAGUUUGGCUGAAGGGUGGAGGCUUUUCUAGAGAUUGAGACUGGGUGGCUCUGAGCAGGAGUGUAGUGCUGUGAGGAGUCCUUCAGCCUCUUUACUCAUUUAGCCUGUUAAGAGCACACUUAGGGAGAUUUUGCCCAUUGAUAGAUUAACUAGAUUACAAAGAACAACUACUGCAUUUCUGAAAUUCAUUAUGAAAGUACUCUAUGAAUAAACUAUAUGAAUAAUAAAAAGCCAACCCAAACUGUAGAAACCACUUCUGAGAAGAACUUUCACAUGUGAUUAUGGUAUAGUUGCACAGUCUGCGCAAGUGAAGUAGAGCAAAGAAAUGGAAAAUCUGGGCUAAAUGUCAUAAACUACUCUUUAGUUUAUCGCUUCUUCUCCCCCUCCCCUUGCCUCCCCCCUACCCCUGCCACCUUCUUUCUGAGGAAAUAAUUUGAAGAUUCCUGGAAUAAAUCAUCUGUGGUUAGAAAAAAUAUAAAGAGACUGGGAUCUCUAAUAGCAGGCAUUUGGGAGUAAAUGUGAAUACAGAUCGUUGCUGUAGAAUUGAUGUUAUUAUCUUAAAUCCUCUAUUUUACUUUUCUUGGUCCACAAUAUUUCUUCUUCAUUCACCCAAAACUCAUUGAAAAUAAUGCAAAAUAUGAUAUAUUUUUACCACAAACUAGUUGAGUAAUCAUCAAAAAGAGAUUCCUAGUAUGCUUCAACUACCAACAUCCUUCUAACUGUGUUUCAGCAGACAUUACCUAUUUUGAGACAAUAGAGAUAUGGGCUGAGAGUCAAAUCUCCCUUCUAUUAUGCUUGAUUCUCAAAGACAAACUUGAUUUAUGCCUGUCUGUCCGUCCAUCCAUCUGUCCGCUUAUUUAUUAAGAAUAUUAAAAUUUUUGUUUCAGCUGUUGAAUGUAAAACUAAGAAGAUAGACAAAAUCCUUGGUGUGUCCAGUUUAGACAAAAUCCUUGGUGUGUCCAGUUUUUUGAAGUAAAGGAGGAAAAAAAAAAGGAAAAGUUACUUACUUUGUAUGCAAAGAAAACUGUCUCUACUGAUUUCCAAAAAGAGUUAUUCAAGAGAUGUAGAAGUGCAUUUUGUUUCAAGGGUCUGUGGGGCCUACUGCUCUACAGUUCCAUAAAAUUUCGAGUAGUAUGGAUACUACCUAGUUUUACAGAUGAAGCAAAAUCAAAGAAUAUGCAUGCAAAAUUGCCAGAAUAAAAAUCAGUGAAUAAAAUUAUUUGAUCUCUGUGUUAAAAUAAAGUCUACAAAAGAAAAAUUAAUUUAAUUUUCAGGUGAAGGGGAAUCCAUAGGAGAACACAUGAGUGAAAAUGUUUUUGGAAAGCAAGAUUUAUAAGGCAUAUUUCAAAAAAGUUGUAUUUGUUUAGUCUAGAGAAGAGAAGACUGGGGAAAAUAGUAGGAUAUCUGAAGAUUAUUGUGAAGAAGAUGGUCACCAAUGGUCUUUUGUACCCAUUUGCAGAAGGACAAGAAAGAAAUAUCUUAAUUUACAGCCAAAAAGAACAGGCUACAUAUUUGGAGAACAGGCUACAUAUUUGGAAAGGCCUUUUUAAGUACAAGGACAGUUAAAGACUGGAACGAAGUUAUCUGGUGAUACUGCAGCAUCUUCCUCAUUGACAAUUUAGAACAGAUUAGACAAAAUGUUUCUGUCAUAAUAAUGCUCUUACAUCUAUUUUCUUCCAUUAUUGUUGGCUCCACACAAUAGAUAACCCAGAAUACUGAGUUGCAACUUGAAAAAUAAAUUUGGAAUGUGGAGAUAAAAUUGUAUCGUCUGAACACAUGAUCAAUCAUCAUAAAUGCAGACUUCUUUUUCUUCUCAUAGAUGUAUUCUUGAAUUUUGCAUGCCCUUGUGUAUUGUAAUUUUCACUUAUUUAAAUUUAAAGUUUAUUUAUGUAUAAAUUCUAUUUACAGAUCAUCAGUAAGGAUAAAGCAUGCUACCUGUUCAUGCAAGCAGUGCUAUCAUUCUGCUUGCACUGCUUGGUUUUCUGGUCAGGAAGCUAAUUUCAACAUUGCCAAUGCCCUUUUUUCUUGAAUUCUAACUCUCUCUAGCACACGCUCUUCAGGUAUGUAUAGCUUUGUAGGUACUACAGGGAAAUAUUCUGAAUUCAAAACAGAUGUAGUUUCUUUUAAGACACAUAUAGAUAACUAGGGUUUGCUACUUGACAGAAUAUCUGAAAAAGUCUGAUUCCUAAACAAAACCAGAACUUUGAUGGUGAAUUUUACUUUCUGUGGUUAACAGGCUAUUUUUACAGUGACAAAUAAAGUCUGUUAGUAAUAAAAAUGAAACCUAGUAUCUAUGCUGUGAUAAUGGAACCCUAAAGUGAAAUUAGUUAGUGAUAUUAAAAAGAAUCACUUGUAUUUCUGCUCCAAACCUCAAGUUAUUUUAUUUUCCUGUACUCAAAAACAGUAUUAAAGAAAAUGUAUGGUUCAUGUUACCAACAUUCAUAGCCUUGAUUAAAAUAGGAAUAAUCCAUGUAUAUGCUUUUGUUAGAGCAUAAAAUAUGUAACAUAAGAACAAGAAUAUUGAAGGAGUAAAGAUAAUUUGACUAUUCAGAAUACUGUCAGAAUUCAGUCUAUUCAGAAUACUGACUGUUCAUGUCUGUUCUCUCUUAGAAAUUCAACUUGAAGGAUGAUGAGAAAAGUAUUAAUAAUUAUUACUCUGUUGUACUCUGUUAGAUACUUGAGGACUUAUGUGUUUGUAUCAAACAGUAAUUAAAGUCUUCAAAUUAAAGUGUUCAUCUUCCAGUGGUUUUUCUUAUAUUGGUUCUGCAACAGGAAAGGCUGUGAACAUUUGCAAAUGGACAUUUUAUUCUACCUUCUUCCCUCAAAUUGUGUUAGAAAAGUUUCAAUUAUUAGAUGCAGCUGUAUUAAAAAUAUGAGUAUUGUACUCAUCAAAUAGCUUUCACUCAGCUAGCUAAGACCUCAGAGAGGAAAAAAGAAAAAUAGCACCCCUUCACUUUUGUGGCUCAUUUUAUCUUGUUCUCUUGAUAAGGAACCAAGGGGUUCCAGUACAACUUUUUUGUUUAAUACUGCACCUGAGCCAUUUAGAUUUACCUGGCUUUAGUUUAUGGUUUGUUAGUCGGUUUUUUGGUUCUUUCUUUCAGAAGUAGGAGGCAUCUAUGCUAUUUGAGAAUUAACUUAGAAAGAGAUCACCAAAGUCUUAAAACCUUUAUGAGACAAGCCCAUUUUGAAGAAAGAUUGUUGUCAGCUUGCAUAGAAUUAUUCAAAAAUAUGACUCACAUAACACUGCAUCUUUAUAUUAAUGCAGUUUAUGUAGAAGGAAAACAGAGUAGGCCAGAGAAGUUUUUAGAGGAACAUGUCUAGCAAAUAACUUUAGAAUGCUUAAGUUACAUUUUUUACAAGGAUAGGAAAAUAUAAUUCCUGGAUAGAAGUGAAUACUGCUUUUGAGAGGCCUCUGAAAGUUGUGUGACUUGACUUCUCAUGUAAGUCAGAAAUGUAAUUUCUGAUCCAAGGUGUUUCCUGAAGAGAGAAUAAUGGUUUUAAAUUGCAAGAUGCCUUAAUCAGUUAAACAAAUUGAGAAAAAAUGCUAAAGCUUCUUUUACUUUCAAUUGAAACCUACAGUUGUCUGGUUUUACUUGUAAGAACUUGCUUCUCAACAUGUAUAUUAAUUUAAGAAUUUUUGUAAUGGAACAUUCGCUUUUACAGUUUGAAGUUGCAAAUGCAAACUUUAUUUUUUAAGCUUUCCCAUGUAGUAUUUUAUUGAACACUUAAAAGAAAUGCUGACUAAAGAAAGUAUUUAUGUAACCAGAGGGGAUUUAAUAGGAGGAGAAAUUUAGUUUUCCUGCACGAGGUCCAGCGCAACUACUACAGAAAUCAAUUCCCAGCAAGAUGAAUGUAUCUAUCUUGAGUAACAUGAUACUCAGAAACAUACAGUUAAUAAUAUAUAGAUGGAUAUAACCCCCAUUUUGAAAGGUGCUAAUGAAAUUAUCAUUUAAUAAUUUUGAAAAUAUUACUUACAGAUUAAAUAUGGACAUCCAAAGCCAGAAUAAUUAAAGGGUGGUUAGGAAAUAAAAAUAUACAUUGUUUGAUUAAGUGAGGUAAAAAGCCACAUGCAAGGAAACUGGUAUGAUAUAAUAUUGAUUUAAGUUUGCAGAAGAAUAUAUGAUUGGAGUAGAAUUGUAGAACAUGGUGUGCAGUUAUUAUGAGUUAUUCUAUUUUAGCAGAUUUAAUUAUGUAAUGUAAUCCACUUUUUUAGCAUAACUGCAGUUGGACUGAAUGAAGUAGUAGAAACUGCACAUGAGAAAGAUAUAGGUUGGAAACUGCUAAUAUUUAGGAGUGUUAAGGGUUUUUCUGGCCAGUUUUGAGAAAUGAAUAAGAAAAUAUCAGAAUUAAGAAAAAUAUUUAUUUGAAGAACUAGAAAUUGCAUUUCUAUGCAGUUUUGGGCUCUUCAGACUAGUCGUGUGAGGUACAGCAACAGCAUAAAGAUAUAAUUACUUCAUUAAUUCAGUUUCUCUGUGUGUUAAUUUAUAUAACCCAGUUUUCCAUCUAAGUUGACUAAGUACAGACAGGUACUUUAAUUGCCCAGCUUUUAUAAAGAAUAUGAAUACAUUUUCUGGGAUGCUCUUGGAUGCUUCUUUGAGUGGUUGUGUAGAAGUGUUUCAUUGCUGGUGUCCUUGUGCCCCAUGAGUGCAAGGACAAGUUAUUUGAACAAAAAGGUCCAUUAAAUGAUAUCAGCAAAUACUUGAAGCAUCUUCAUGUCCACUGACCUCAAGGCAUUAAAUAGCCAUGUGAAUACAAACAUGGAUGAUUUAAUUAUUUCUAUGAUACCACAGAGAUGGAAAUCAUGCAGUACGUGUACUGAGUGAUUUACUUAACUUUAGUUGUAAUAGUAUAAUUAAUUUCAUACAAUAAAUUAAGUCCCCUAAUGACCAUUAGCAAAAUACAGUUUGAGUUAACAUACUAGAUAUACCUCUUUGUAUAUGGAUAAUGGAGUCAUAGGUUACUGGUGUUUAACAUUUCCCCUAACGUGAUUCUUCUGGGAGCAACAUAUCCCAUUGUAACAUUUCCUCUUUCUGAGAUGAAACAGAGAGCAGGGAAGGGAGGGAGGGAGGGGAGAAGAUUUCCCUUAAACAGAGAUUAAUUUAUUUCUAAAUUCUACAGGUAAAGGUAUAGUUAUGAUUAAAGACAUUGCCUCUUGUUCAGUGUCCUAAAAGCUGGGAUUCUGUUCUUCUGGGAUAUAUCCAUUAGCAGGAUCCACUUGUAUUGGCAGGGAAGUCUGACGGAGGCAAGAGGAACAGGAAUCUCAGUACAAGCUGCUGCCCAUGCAUGUAGAAGGGAUAAAAUACUCCUCAGUAAUAUGACAUGUCUUUGGUUCAUGUAUUUUAAAGUUCAGGUCCUGAAAAGACUCAUUUUAUUACUUGCAUACUCUCUGCAGGGACCUUGAUAGUGGCUGGCUUUGUGUUAAGUGCCUCAUGUAUUUAUAGCCCCAAUAGUAGUGAUUGUCUUUGUAUUUCAGCACGGUGUCAUACAUAGCGCUGAGUGACUUGUUGGCCUCGUGGCUUUCCUCUCUCAUUCUCUAACGAGCUGUCCAGCUUAUUAGAAACAACAAACACUAGAAACAGGGUGCCUUCUAUGACUGAUUGCAGAAGCAAAUGUACCAUUCCAAAUCAGUGACAGAACCUUCUGUCUCUACAGGAAGGGUGAGGGGGCUAGCAGUUCAGUGUCAACUAUCAAUGCCUCAGCAAUUUCACUUGCUAUUUCAAAUUCAGAUUGGAGUAGUAUCCAUAAUCUCCUAACCAAUCACUAAUCCUCAGGGAUUUUGAACUGCCAGCCUGCAAGAUGUCUAUUUUUACACAGGGAUCCAUGCAGCAGAGAAAAGCAGGAAAGAGAUUCCUCAUAGGAAUUCUGGAUUACAUUACAGAAUGCUACCCUUGAGUCUUUGUUGUGAACCAAAAAGGAAUUUUCUGAUGACUUGGUGAUCACCCUGCCUCCUCCCAGAAAAAAGUAGCUAUCACCAUAGCCUGCUUCAGAAGAUAAAGCAUUGAGGUGUAGUACCACAACAGAUCAUUGAUUCAGUUCACACAAGUCUAAAACUAUAUCAUGAACAAUUCUCAGACUUACAGAAACAUCAAUUUAAAUCAUUUUGUUAUGGUUUUACUGUUAGACAUCAUAUUAUCAAGAACUUUUUACUUCCCAGAGGAGAGAUUGUAGACAGCAACAGGUCAAUUAAAUCAGCCUCUAGGUCAUCUUUCAAGAUCAGUAAAAACCUCUCAGCAUUUAUAGUCUCUCCCAAAACAUUUUGUACUUGAGCUACAUUCUGAAAGCACAGCCUUGCAAUGACCUGGUACUUGCUGCAUCAGGUGUCUGGAGUACACAAAGGAGUCCUCUCCUCAUUAAACUUUGAAUGAAUUAUACUCAUUACAGUGUGGCUUUCUUAUCUUGAAGUACCAAGGGUCUGGGGGACAGAUAGAUCUAUUCAGAGACAGGGAUUUGCUCACAUUCAAAAUCUUUGUGAUGUUCAGGAGAUGCCUGCUCUCCAUAUAAAUAUUUCAGUCAGUACUCUCUGCCUUAAACAAUAAAUAAAUUUGGGGUGGUUUUUCAGGGACUUCCCAAACAAGUGCCAAGAGUCAACAUGAUAAUUAAUCAUAUGUUUUUGUCAACAAGCCAGUGAGGGGCAAGACCAUCCUCAGGAGCUUUUAUGUGACAUACAGCUCUAAGUUAAACCAGUCAGAACGAGGAAACAUUUGGGAUUAGUGCUGAAAACGUUCAGAGCCUUGCGCCUUUCUAACCUUCAGCAUAUCUAGCCAUCAUAGCAGGGAGUCAAUGGCACUGACCUGUCUUCCAGAGUCACAUUUUUCAAAUGGGGACUUUGAAAUGUGUGCUUGCUCAUAACAGACAAAAAUAGGUGUCCUGUUCUAACUAGAGGGAUGCUGAGAUCUCCUGACAAAAUGUUUUGUUUAGCUGUUUAUAACAUGGGCUUUGUGUGCCUUUUUUUAAAAUCUUUCUUUGUGUCUUGUGAAACUUUCAGUACAUUUUCUUUACCUGUUUAGCCAGACAUCCCCUUCCGAAAUAACAAUCAGAUCCUGCAGCCAAACCCGGUGUGAUUAUAGCUGAUAGACAGGGCGUUGCCUAAGUGAAAUCUGCUGACAGAAACUAUUUUGCAACAGUGCAGAUCAUUUUGUGUCAAAGAGAGUCACUUUAACUAGAGUUACUCACAAACCUGAAUGAAAAGACUUUCUGUUUGAGUAUCCUGGCAUGGUCAGUCUCCCUUAGCCUCUUCUACUUCAAGAGUACAGUACUGUUAAAUAAUUUUAACACUAAGUGGAGUUUAUAUAAUUUCUCUAAAAGUGCAUUUUUCGGUAAUAGCUGCUUAACUUCUUCUGUACAGUGAUACAAUAUACCUUAACUUGUAGUAAGAUUUAGGAAAGGCUUUUGUUUAUAUUUUUACCUCCCUAUGGAGACCUGUCUUACCUGUCUGUAUAAUUUUUUACUAAUAGAAACCGUGCUUUUCCCUCUGCCUGAGAAAUAUUUUUGUGUCUUGUAAAACACAUGGCAGGGAAAAUGGGAGAAUACUGCUGAGUUAAGAAUCUCCUACUGAAAUAAUAGGAAACUCUCACAAGCUUCUGUGGUUUUCAUUAUGAUGUUAACUGUGCCCACUUAAGGUCUACUCUAGAAACAAUGUCCUCCUUUAGAGGAGGCUUGAGCUACUUUAGCUUCAGUUUUCUUCUUCCAAUUUUAGAUAAAAUUUACAUUGAUUCCUUGAGCUUUAAUUAUUAGCAAGUAAUUUUCUUGGAAUAGGGCUGAUUUCUGUGCAGUGGCAAAUUUUCUUCCCUUUAUUUCCACUCCCCACUAUUCUUUUAGAUUCUGCUUGCAGAAAGACCAGCAGGGUUUUAAGAGCACAAUAUGCAUGACUGCAUCUUUUCCUCUAAUGCAUCUUCCCCAACAGUGGAAAAGAAUGGCUCUCUCAGAAUGUGCUCAUCUAGGCUUCCAGUUCCCCAGGAUCUUGGAAGGACUUCUUUGCAAUAGCAGCUUCAGCAUCUGCCACAGAUAGCAGGCAGGCUGGUGGUUGAUUGGCAGAGCUAAGAAGAGAUAGAGAUCCAGCCCUGGGGCAAUGCAGUCUUCUUCAGACACUGUAACUACAGCACCCCUCUAACAAACAGCAAAAUUUGCGUUUUGAAAACAGCUAUAAAUGUUUUAAAGUCACAAACAAAAAGGAUGGACAGGGAUCAACUUUUCACCUUCUCUAUCAAUAAAAAAUACGAGUGCAUCAGAGGACAGCAGUAGGUCGUUCAAAAUAAAUAAUACAAUAAAUUAUAUUACUUUAAAUGCUCAUGGGUAUUAUACUUGCAAUAUUUUUUUACUAAAGACAGUACAAAUUAAUGAAGUUCACAACAAUCUAAGGAAAGACUGCAUAAGGACCUGGAAGAGAGAUCUAGUGAAGGUCACUAACUGGACAAACCACAUCAGGUUCAGGAAACCUUCCAAGCUAAAACAAAUUUGGAUGCUGGAAUAUAUGGGCAUUAUCAUAUAUGCUUGUCCUGGUCCUGCUGUUCACUGAGGGAAUAUUUGGAUAAGAAUUGGCUUUUGUCAGCUGUCGGACAUGGGUAAAUGGGCCAAGUGUAUGCCCAGCCUGAACCAGUUUGACCUCUCUAGUAUUCUUAAAACAAAGUUUGUUUAUGAAUCGUGACCUACUCCCAAUCUUUGCAAAAAUGAAACAAAAUACUUUCAGGACUAUCCCUUCUUUGAAUUCAAUCAAGUAGAGUCAACCUUAGUCAUUCUUAUUCCAUUUUCUGCACCCUCAACUUCCCAAUUUGUAGUAUUUCAAAGAUUUUUAACAUGUUAAUGAAAUGCUUCUCCUGCUCCUUUUUUUCUUACCUAAUCUUGCCUUUCCUUAAAUCAAACUUUAUCCAACAUUCUCUCUCUAGAGACUUGUUGCUACUGUUGUAAUUCUGGGUAGUGACUUUUCUUGAUCCUUUUAGUGGCUUUCAGAGUCUUUUUAUUACAGAGAGGAGAUCUUUGAACCUGGCAAUGAAAAGAGCAAGAAAAAUAAAAGAAAAUCCAUGGGAUAGUGUUUAUUCCAUCACAGUAAUUUGGGAGGAGGAGGAAUUUCAUUCUCAUCCAUCUUACGUGAGUAGAUAGAAUCCACAGAUCUGUGAUACCAAGUCUGUAAGUCAUAUUCCAAAAUCCAGCAAGCCAGGAUCACAACUAUAGGAAAUUCUCAGGAAUAACUUUCCUUUCCCUUUAAACUUGGGAAAUUGUCCUAACAGUAGAUUUAUCCUUCUAAGUCACUUUGCAAGGACAAGGAAGGUUAAUGAUAAGUCUCUAUUUUUAGCAGAGAUUAAGAUGGUGAAUUCUUAUGUUCAGUUCCCUGGUUAGCCCGAAGUCUGUUCAGUUUUCAGUAGAUAGGCAUAGAUGCAGCCAUAGCUUGAGGAGGAGAAGAAUGGGUGGAGGAACAGGGAAGGAUCUAGAGCUCUUCAUAGCAUCCUUUCACCCUUUCCCUCCUGCUGCUGGUACAUCUGCACCUGAACAGCCAUGCAUUAAAGAAAAAGCCUAUCCUGUUUGGCCUCUUACUUCUAAUGCCUCAGGUAUUGAGGAGAUGGAGGCAAACCUCUGUGCCAGGGCUCUGUCUCUUUAACUUUGUAUGUGCACGAGCAGGCACAGUAGGGACCCAUGCUGGUUUGAACAUUUUAUAGUCUAAAUGGCUAUAAGAGAAAGGAGGGAAAUCACGUUUUCUGUUACUUGUGUGGUCUCCUGGAAUGAUUAAUAUGUGUUUAAUGAGUUAUCUGUGUAUGCUUUCUUUAAAUUAAAAGUUUAUUUUUCAAAUAAGACCAUUUAAAACUAAUUAUGAAAUUAGGGCAGCCAGUAUUAAGGGUAAAUUUACUAUAGUAUUUUAAAAUAACAAAGUAAAAAUACCAUGCCACACCUUUUUUUAUGCCAGAAUUUUAGAUAAAGUCAAACCACCGAAGGGGUGGACGUCACUGACAGAGCAUUUGGAAUUAUAACCUGCAGAAUGUGGAACCAGCUUCUGAUAGCUUUUCCUUUUCUCUUGUAAUGUACUCAUCUACUUUAUAUUAAUGACUAAUAUGUUCAAAAUUGAAAAAUCUACUGGGAGACGAAAAAGCAGGUAAUUCAUUUUUUUUCAUUAGGUCCAUGAAUGAAAUCUGAAAGAGGAUGAGAUGUACUACUUGUACAGUCUUGAAGGUCGUGCUAGCCAGAAACAACAGCCUAAGUUGCCCAACUAGCAGUGAUUCAUCCUUGUUGAAUAAAUCAGUUUUCAAUACAGUGCAUUCUGAUAAGUUUUUUGUUCUUACAUGUUGUGUACAGUUAUGACUAUUUAAUUUAACUGAGAAAAAGUUAAGGGCUCUUUUGCUACAUUUAAAUUUAAUUCCAUUUUCCCUACACACUUUUAUAAAUUAUAAUUGGAAGACAAAGUCAUGGUAAAGAGAAACCAUUACAUUUUCUAUCAUAAGUUGUAAAAAUUAAGAAUAAGAAGUCCCUUAUAUAAAUGAUUUAAAAAAAAUUGUGCAGGCAUCAAAUCACAUUCUAGAUAGCAAGAAGAAUAAUACUAUAUAAAGAGGAUAUAUUUAAUUGAAUAAGGGUCUUUAAAAUGAAAGGGGAAAAAAGGGAAAUAUAAAACUGGACCAAAAUAGACUGCGCAAGACAAGGCUAUUCUCUUUUCUGUUUUAAAAGGUAGCUAGAACUGGUAAUUGAACUCAGAGACACCAACCAAUUCACCCAGUCUGACGAUAACAUGCACUUGUAGUUCUGGGUCCUAAACAAACACAAUAUGGGCCUUGCCAGUGCUUUAGAAAGGCCUGGUUAAUAAUCAGUUGUCAGGAGUCGCCUCUGACCCGUGCGGGCCCUCCUUCCCUGGGAACAAAACCCCAGCAUCUGUUGCCUGUUUGAGCCAUGGCGGUGCGGGAGCUGAGCCCUUGUCACCGCGGCUCCCUCGGCUCCCUGGCUGCGUGCUGCGGGGAAACCUGCUUCUGCAGCUUGGCUUCAGAGCAAAUUAAAGAAAGCUGGGCAGCUGAGUUACUGAGAGCUGUCCCACUGUAAGGUAGAAGGAGAUGACCUGGGGUUAGAUGACCCUGACUAUCAAGUGUGUUGUCUUGACAAACAGUAAUUGCUUGACAAUUGCUCUAGGCUUGGGAAACAUACGUUAUCAUGUUCGUGCUGUAUCUACUGAUAGAGAUUGUUUUCAUUACACGUACUGGAUAUUUCUAACUCCACUGAAGCUACUGAUGUGUGAGAACAUAGAUAAGUUCAAACUAGAGGUCUGAAACUUGAAAGUCUUAAACUUGAAGUUACUCCUUUUAGCUAGAGGACGUCUGUCUUUAAUUCUUGAGUCUAUGUCCAGUAUGUCCAGCAUCCACAGUGGUCUUUCGAAUGCUGGGUUGGUUUUUCUUUGUUUUCUUUUGUUUUUUCAUUUUCUUUUGUUUUGUGGUUUGUUUGUUUUUUGGUUUGGGUUUUUUUUUGUUUUGUUUUGGUUUUGGUUUUGGUUUUUUUUUUUUUGAAUGCUGUCUUUGUUAGAGCUGGAGGAGUUUCAAUGAAAGAAUAUCUCAGUUUUGUGUUUGGUGAAUGCUAUUGUCAUAAUUAAUUCCCUGUAUAGGUUUCAGCAUUAAGGCUGUGGGACACAUUAGAGAGCAAUCUACACUCACGGCUCAGUAUAUAAGGCAUAUGCAGAACUUCAGCAUUAAUUACAUAUUUUAUACUUGGUAAGAAGAAGGUGUUUUUUUGGUCUGUACUGUAACAGAACUUCCUUUUGAACUACUGUCUACAGUUACUGUUUCCUCCCCUUUCGGCAGAAGUUUCACUGGUAAUAUAAAUGUGAGCCUCUUCCAGUUGAAAACAAUCUUACUUUAUUUGAAAUACAGUAUUCCUUUUUCUGAAAACUUGCUGAGUCUCUCCCUGAAAUAAUCUUAUCUUCUUAUGUUUUUCCUUACACCUUAACAUGUCUGCUUAAGUAUUGAGGAACUUCACAAGUACAAGAAAGGUUGUAGAGAAACACGCAAGAUCAUAGGAAAUUUUUGUGGGGCAUAGAUGCUAAAAUAAAAGAAAGGAAGGGUAGGAAGCAUGCAAUGUAUAGAACUCAUAGGAUCUCAAGUGGUUAGGGAGGUGUAUUAAAGAAAGGCAGCAGGAGUCUGCCAGGGGUCAGUACAUGGUCACUCAUGACCUCAGGGGCAUAGAGACGUAGAAUGCUUGUGACAUGAUUUGCAAGAGAAUGUGUGGGCUUUGAUUCACUCAUUUACACAGCAUCAGAAAGUAAAUAGGAGACUGAUUUCUUAUUUGAUGAAGACUUCAGUCAUCCAGAUCAGCUUCUUCCAUUAAACUUCUUAUCUUUCCUUCCAUUUUCAUGUGCUUCUUUCAUAUCUCCAGUGGGCUCUCCCUCUAUAGUGAUGACUCUUAUGCAUAAGGAAAGGACAGUUUUGCUAUUACUUGUAAAUUUGUUGUCAUAUGACACAACCUGUCAUUAUUUUCCUUCUUGAUUUCAAAUGAAAUAUCUCCCAGUGCUGUUGAAAUUGUGUAUUGCUUGCAACUACAAUUGUAGUACCUAGAUGUAAUAUACAGCUUUUUAUCUGUAGAGCUCAAGCUUCUUUUAAGCCUGGAAUGAGAUUUUGUUCCUUUAAAGCUCUCAGAGCUCAGGUAACAGUGGCUGAGGCAAGACUAAUUUAGGAUUUAUUCCUUCUCACUGUUAGGCCAUUUGACAGAUUGAUCCAGCUCUUCUAGCCCCUGAGUGCCACUGGCUCAGCCCAGCAUUUAUACAGUGCUUUGUGCAGACUCCUUCUCCCAGUGCAAAACUUGCCCUAUUCCAGCAGGAGGUGGCUUAUGGCUUCCUUCCACACUUCCUGCAGAAGGAUUCCUGGGUGACACAUGAGGCUUUUAGAGCCCUUUUCUCGUCAGGUCUUCACUUCUAAUGUGAAGAGAGUAGAAGACUGGUGAGAAUUUCAAUCACUGUAAUUUUGGGUUUCUUUUUUUAUGUGGAGGUAUGAUAUGGCAUGGGAACUCCCCUUAAGAGAGACCUUCAGAGUUGGGUUAGUCUCUAGACAUCUGUUCGGCAUUGCUAACUAGGUACCUUGCCUUUGAAACUGGGCGUUUUAUAUUUUGAAAAAGACAAAUGUACAGAUAAAAAAAUGUUGCUGAACACUUAUUUCAGAUCUUUGAUUUUUUUUUUUUACUUUAUUAACCCUGGUAUGCAUAGCACUGGUGCAUCCUGUAAGCAUUAUUUUAUCUCUUAGAUUCAGUGAGAUGUAGGACAGUUUUAACUGUCCCUGUCUUAGAAUGGAAAAGCUAUUGGUGAAAGUCUGACUCAAGGACAGGAUUAUGGUCCUUGUUUAGACUCCCAUUCCAAACGUUGGCCAAAGCACCAUCCAUCUUCCGCAUAGAUAUAGAUUUAACAUCAGCAGUGUGAUCUAACUUGAAGUGUCUGUAGGAACAGCAACCAGAAACCUGUGCUCAGACAGUAGGAUAAAAGACAGAGCAAUUCUAUUUUUUAAUGUGUUAAUCAAUCCUGUUUAUUUAACCAUAUUCAGAAAAUUAUAGUAAGUUGCUUAACUUCUCUUUUAAUUUAUUCACAGGUCUACUUUGCCUGUAGUGCUGAGCUAUUGUGAUAGUUUGAUUUUUGUGAUUUGCAUCAAGCAUGAAGCUUUCAAAGCCAUGUGUCGAAGAGGAAAUAGAGCAAAGAUACACCACAGCAGAGAAAGCUAGCAGGACAAAGGAGAUACUAUUGACUCAUUCCAGACUGCCGACUUAGCAGCUCAACUUUGUUUCCUUUUAACUUUUGUAACAGUAGGAGCUCAAAGCUUCUCAGUCUAUUUUCUGCGCAAAUAGAAACACCCAGACUUCAAAAAGUAAUAUGCUUUGAAGAACCCCAAACCAUUAACACAUUAAAAACUGUGCGUACUAUUAAACAAGACUUCGUGGUUACUUGAAUUUUGCACGAAGUAGAUGCUGGUGUUUUGGUAGUAAUUUUUACACUGCUGCAUUCUGGCAGACAAUUAUUGACAAAUAUCAAUUUGUAAAGCACUUUUUGUUGGUUUUAGUGCGAUACGGUUUUAUUGACUUUGCAGUGGGUAAGUACUGCUUCAACAUUUUCACAGGCUGAGUAAACCCCACAGACUCUUUUCCCCAGCUCAAUAGCAUAUUGCAACAAGUUUCUAACCCUGUAACAUUACACUUGUAACACUAGGGAAAGCAUAAGAGGUGUGAUAUUUAGAUUUUGUCCUCGGUACUGAAGCCUAUAUUCCUUUAAAAAAAAUUAUUGUCCAUUUUGGACAAUGGAGUGUCCAAAUCCAUCGAUAUGACAGCUGACGGCGUCCCGGUCCCAAAGUCCCAUCAGGACCGUGUUCCCCGGUAAGAGGCGGGCCCCGCGUUCCCGCUCGCUGCCGGAGGGAGCGGUGUCACUUCGCAGACACCCCGCGCUAGCAAAUACACCUCGCCUGUCUCCCGAGCCAUCCCUGCUACAGCGAGCGCUUAGAACGUCACAGAACGUCACGAAAUCAAACCGAUCGGCAUCGCGUAAGCCGAGAGUGUGAGUCGGGUUUAAGUUCAGAUGCGUGCAGCCCCGGGCUCGGCGGGGCCCUGCAGCCCCCGGUGCCGCGGGGGGCCGGGGCGGGCGGGGCGCCCGUGCUCUGCCGCGGCCUCGGGUGCCGCGCCCCCCCCCCGUUGGCGCGGCAGUCUGUCACUCAGGCGACGUCACAAUACGCCUGUGUGAGCGCUGUAAACACUCGGGCGGGCGUGUGCGUGUGUGUGAGUGACGCGGGGGCGCGCCUCCCCGCCCCCCGGCUCCCCCCCGCCGCCCCCAGGGUGGCACCGAGCCGGCCGGGGGGGCGUGAGGCGCGCCCCCGGUUGUUUCCCUGCGCGCAUGGUAGCGGCACGAAAGGUAGCAUCACUGGAGCAGGGGAUGAUGUAAUUCUCCCUCCGGCCAGUGACUGCCUGCGCUUGCACCGAUCCGACUUGCAAACCGGAGGGGGGUGGUUGUUUUACGCGUGAUCGUAUCAGCAUCUCCUGACGGCGCGCCCCCCCCACCCCCCAACGCCGCUUUAAACCCCUCUCCGCUCAUCCCUCCCCUCCCCGGGGCACGGAAGAGGGAUGGGGCUGGGGGAGGAGGGGAGCCCCGCGCCGUGUGUGCAGGGUAAACACGCCAGCGAGCGCCGCGCCGAGCGGUAAACAAGUCGGAGGUGCCCUCCGCCGCACGGCAACUUGCUGCGGGCGGGGUGUCCCCCCCGCACACACACACGCACGCACGCACACUCACUUCCCCCUAACAAAAGCCCGUUUAAUAUCAGCGUCAGCUUUUGUUCGGCGGGCGGCAGCAGCCGUCCCCUCUCUCGAUCACCUUAUUUCACCGGUCGGCCCCCCGGCCAAAUCCACGGAUCCCCCUCGCCCCGUCCCCCCUGCGAGCAUCCCCGCUCGCUCCGCGGCGCUGUCCCCUCACCGCCUCGAAGGCUCACCCCGCUUCCCCGGAGCUCCCGGUCCCUGCUGCCCGCUCUCUGGGGCAGCAGGCAGGUAGGCGAGCAGGCGCCCCCCCCCCCCCAGUCCCCGAAAAAGCAGUAGGCAAAUGGCACUUACUGUUAGA